UACAGAGGUCCCAAGCGUUGUUCGGAUUCAUUGGGCGUAAAGGGUGCGUAGGCGGCGCGGUAAGUCGGGUGUGAAAUCUCGGGGCUUAACUCCGAAACUGCAUUCGAUACUGCCGUGCUUGAGGACUGGAGAGGAGACUGGAAUUUACGGUGUAGCGGUGAAAUGCGUAGAUAUCGUAAGGAAGACCAGUGGCGAAGGCGGGUCUCUGGACAGUUCCUGACGCUGAUGAGCGAAAGCUAGGGGAGCAAACGGG
rnacentral:rRNA from 1 species